AAGUCGUAACAAGGUUUCCGUAGGUGAACCUGCGGAAGGAUCAUUAAUGAAUACACUUGGACGCUACUUUUAGAAGGUCCGACCCUUCAUUACCUUCACACUGUGCAACACACUUCAUUUUACACCCAUUUUUAAACACUAUAGUAUAAGAAUGUUACCAGUCUCUUAAUUGAGCAUAAAUAUAUAAUAAAA
rnacentral:misc_RNA from 1 species